CAACUUUCAACAACGGAUCUCUUGGCUCUCGCAUCGAUGAAGAACGCAGCGAAAUGCGAUAAGUAAUGUGAAUUGCAGAAUUCAGUGAAUCAUCGAAUCUUUGAACGCACCUUGCGCUCUUUGGUAUUCCGAAGAGCAUGCCUGUUUGAGUGUCAAUU
rnacentral:rRNA from 1 species